rnacentral:tRNA from 2 species
GAGGAUGUGGCUCAGCGGUAGAAGCGGCGGAUUGCAAUUUGCAACCAUCCGUAGGUCCCCGGUUCGAUCCCGGGCAUUCUCU